AUUGAACGCUGGCGGCAGGCCUAACACAUGCAAGUCGAGCGGAGAUGAGGUGCUUGCACCUUAUCUUAGCGGCGGACGGGUGAGUAAUGCUUAGGAAUCUGCCAUUUAGUGGGGGACAACAUUCCGAAAGGAAUGCUAAUACCGCAUACGUCCUACGGGAGAAAGCAGGGGAUCUUCGGACCUUGCGCUAAAUGAUGAGCCUAAGUCGGAUUAGCUAGUUGGUGGGGUAAAGGCCUACCAAGGCGACGAUCUGUAGCGGGUCUGAGAGGAUGAUCCGCCACACUGGGACUGAGACACGGCCAGACUCCUACGGGAGGCAGCAGUGGGGAAUAUUGGACAAUGGGCGGAAGCCUGAUCCAGCCAUGCCGCGUGUGUGAAGAAGGCCUUUUGGUUGUAAAGCACUUUAAGCGAGGAGGAGGCUACUAGUACUAAUACUACUGGAUAGUGGACGUUACUCGCAGAAUAAGCACCGGCUAACUCUGUGCCAGCAGCCGCGUAAUAC
rnacentral:rRNA from 1 species